GACCCUGUCUCAAAAAAUAUUUUAAAAAUUGCAGGGAGAAAUUCACAAAUCUACAAUUAUAGUUAGAGAUUUCUACAACCCUCUCUCCAUAAUUGGGAGAACAAGUAAACAGAAAGUAAGUGUAUAGAAGACUUGAAAAACACAAUCAACCAACUUGACAUAUUUAACCCAUCACAGUCCACUUUCAAGUAGUAAUAUAUCAUGGCCACUCUUGUUAAAAACUCUUGGCAAACUAGGAAUAGAAGGAAAUGUCCUCAACCUGAUAAAGGGCAUCUUCAAAAACCGACAACUAACAUCAUACUUAAUAGAAAGACUAAAUUCUUUCCCCCUAAGAAACAACUGGAUAUCCAUAUGGAAAAAAAAGAAUUUUGUUCCAUACCUGACACCAUAAUCAAAACAUUACUCAAAGUGAAUCAGAUGUAAAUGCAAAACCUAAAAGUAUUAAACUUCUAGAAAAACAAUAGAAGAAAAUCUAUCUGAUCUUGGGUUAAUCAAAGGAUUUUGAGAUAUAACACCAAAAGCGUGACCUAUUAAAAAAAACUGAUAAAUUAGACUUUAUUAACAUUUAAAGUUUCUGCUCUUCAAAAGACAGCGUUAAGUGAAUGAAAAGCCAAGCUACAGACUCAGAGAAAAUAUUUGCAAGUCAUAUCUGACAAAUAGCUUGUAUGUAGAAUAUAUAAAAACCUUCAAAACUCAGGAAAAAACAUUUAAAAAUGGACAAAAGAUCUGAACAAAGAUUCACUAAAGAAGAUAUCAAUAGCAAACAAAUAUUCAAUAGAAAAGAUAUUCAACAUCACUACACAUUAAAGUAAUGCAAAUUAAAACCCCAGUAAGGUUCCACUACCCACCUAUUAGAAUGACUAAAGUUAAGACUGAUCAUUCUGACUUGGCACGGUGGCUCACGCCUGUAAUCCCAGCACUUUGGGAGGCUGAGAUGGAUCACCUGAGGUCGGGAGUUCGAGACCAACCUGACCAACAUGGAGAAACCCCAUUUCUACUAAAAAUACAAAAUUAGCUGGGCGUGGUAGCACAUGCCUGUAAUCCCGGCUACUCGGGAGGCUGAAGCAGGAGAAUUGCUUGAUCCUGGGAGGCGGAGGUUGCAGUGAGCUGAGAUUGCACCAUCACACGCCAGCCUGAGCAACAAGAGCGGAAACUCCGUCUCAAAAACAAAACAAAACAAAAAAAAAACGACAGAUCAUUCCAAGUACUGGUGAAGAUAUAGAGCAACUGGAAUCCUCAUACACUGCUGGUGGGAAUGUAAAAUGUUACAAACCUUUUGGAAAAGAGUUUGGCAUUUUCUUAAAAUCUUAAACAUUCACCUGCCAUAUGAGACAGACACUACACUCCUAGGUAUUUAUCAAGAGAAACAAACGCACAUGCUCAGAGCACUCUAUUUCUAAUUGCCCCGAAUGGGAAACAACCCAAAUUCAACAGGUGAAUGGAUAAACAAAUUGCGCUACGUCUGCCAAAUCCACUGCCCACUCCUCACUGUGCUCCAAAUACAAGCAACCAACAUUGGUCAUUGUCUCAACAUAAGCAGAGGCACAGGCAUUGUCCAUUCACUGCACAUUCUUUUGGAGUCUCAUCUAUGUGGAAAAAGAGGAUAUUCAAACGACAUCGGGGUGAGCCACACUGGGUAACCAGUUUAAGGAGCAGAAGAUGGUAGUCAAAAGCUAUUUCAAGUCCUCCUUAGCCAGUACUAUUUCCUAUCAUAUCUGGAUAGGUUUUUUUUAUCUCUUUUUAGCAUCUAACAUUCUCAUUUUUAGGGGGACUUCAUUUUUCCCCAUGUAUUUUCAAUAGACCGUGGCCCCAUCUAUUAUUUUUGAAGAGGAAAACUCCUGGUGCCAAAAAGUCCACCGAUCCUUGGUUCAGACAAGGACUUCCAAUUGCUUAAUGUCAGAUGAAUACUGAAAGGUCACCAGAGGAUACACCACGGAACACAGGGACACCAUGACUAUUGAAGUGUUGAAGAUUCCAGAUGAAACGUUUUUUAAAAUGUAAGCCUACACUGCAGGGCAUGGUGUUGUGCCUGGAGUCCCGGCUACGUGGGAGGCUGAGGUGGGAGGAUCCCUUGAGCCCAGAAAUUCUAGUGCAACCUGAGCAACACAGUGAAACCUCAUUUUUAAUAAAAUAUUUUUUAAGCCUACACUUCCUAAAUUUUGUAUAGUGACUGCACUAAGCACAUUAUAUAUUUUCUUCUUUAGUACUCACACUAAUAGUAUUCAAUAACGCUAUUGCUUCCUGUUUUUGACAGAUGAGAAAUAUGGGGCAUGAUGGGAAUGGCAAGUGUUGGGAAUAAGGGUGUGUAACCACCCUCUUCUCCCAGAUGCCUGUGUCCUUGAGCAAUCUGCUCUUUGCAAAGAGGUUGGACCAGCCUCUGGGUGAUUUCUAACCUCUAACAUUAGAGGGCAGUGACUCUAAGCUAAAACGCCCUUGUGGGAUCCACCGUGCUGGUAUCAAGCCAUGAAGAGGAAGCAUGUGUGCUACAGAAACUCAUAGGUGAAAGCAGCAUCUUUUACUGCCUUAUACACUUGUAGAGUGGGAAGUUUUCGUUCUGGUUGACACCAUGCACAACACAUAAGAGAAAUGGUUAGACUGUUUGAGGAAGUGCACACUAAAAUGCCUGACCCCUGCACAGAGGUGAGUGGAUGCCAUCUGGCCGAGAGGUUCCUGUUAUUAGUAUCUAAUCAGGUUUCCCUGGUAGCUAGAGAACUGCAUGACUUGUUGACUGGAAGGCCUCUUACCUCACAAGGGUGUGGUUUCAGAGGUUUCUGAAGAACAAGUGUGGGAGAACUAACCAUGACUAAGGCAUCUCAGGUCAAUGCAGGUGAAUGAUUAACCCCAG
rnacentral:lncRNA from 1 species